rnacentral:tRNA from 1 species
GGAGGAGUGCGUGAGUGGUUUAAACGAGCGGUCCUGAAAACCGCCAGGGGUUAAUACCCCUCGUGAGUUCGAAUCUCACCUCCUCCG